rnacentral:tRNA from 1 species
GAGACACUAGUAAAACUAGAACAUUACACUGCCUUGUCAAGACAAAAUUGCAGGUUAAACUCCUGCGUGUUUUA